UACGGAGGGGGCUAGCGUUGUUCGGAAUUACUGGGCGUAAAGCGCACGUAGGCGGAUCUUUAAGUCAGGGGUGAAAUCCCGAGGCUCAACCUCGGAACUGCCUUUGAUACUGGGGAUCUCGAGUCCGGGAGAGGUGAGUGGAACUGCGAGUGUAGAGGUGAAAAUUCGUAGAUAUUCGCAAGAACACCAGUGGCGAAAGGCGGCUCACUGGCCCGGAACUGACGCUGAGGUGCGAAAGCGUGGGGGAGCAAACAGGG
rnacentral:rRNA from 1 species